UGUCUUUUACCUAGAGGUUGCGGCAUCAACAGUGUCUACGGGUAUUUCGAUGAUAUCUUCGCCAGCGUGGUGUGAUUGGUGUGGUGUACUGGUUGCUGGUGGUGGUUGUGGUGGUGUUGCGAGUGGUUCUUGCGCUGAUGUUGUGGCUGACGGUAUUGUUGCUGUGACCUGUGUGCGGCGCGGUGUCGAUGAAGUAACGGGCUGCCCACCAUUCUCAUCACUAUGUUCAAGACAAUGCACACACAACACAACACGAUGAAGUGAGGUUCACAGUUUCAAACACACGUAACACAAAAGGUAACAUAUGCAAAUAAAUAAAAAAAGAAGAGAGAAAAUCAUAUAAACAAUAAAUAAAUGUAGCAAUGUUUUUGUUUUUCAUAAAUUCAACACAAACGUUCAACAAAAUCAAGAGUAUAUAUUUAUGGUAACGACUAAACAAAAUUCAAAAAGAAUCAAGAUUCAAAAAACGUUCGCUACACUAAAACGCACGUUUCCAAUCUUGAAAAAAUAAAUGAUAGUAUAUUAAACGCAAGCGGCGCACACUCCUCACACACACUUUGAGCGAGGGAGGGAGAGUGACGCCCACUAAAUACCUCUCG